rnacentral:tRNA from 1 species
AUUAUUAUAGUUUAAAAUAUAAAACAUCAGAUUGCAAAUUUGAAGAUUAAUUAUUAUCAUUAUAAUUAUAAUAAUU